AGAGUUUGAUUGGCUCAGAAUCAACGCUGGCGGCGUGCCUAACACAUGCAAGUCGAACGCGAAAGGGGAGCAAUCCCUGAUUAGAGUGGCAAACGGGUGAGUAACACGUGGGUGACCUGCCUUCGAGUGGGGGAUAACCUUCCGAAAGGAGGGCUAAUACCGCAUGACAUACCGUGUUUGGAUACACGGAUAUCAAAGCCGGGGACCGCAAGGCCUGGCGCUUGGAGCGGGGCCCGCGUCCGAUUAGCUAGUUGGUGAGGUAACGGCUCACCAAGGCUCCGAUCGGUAUCCGGCCUGAGAGGGCGGACGGACACACUGGAACUGAGACACGGUCCAGACUCCUACGGGAGGCAGCAGUGGGGAAUUGUUCGCAAUGGGCGAAAGCCUGACGACGCAACGCCGCGUGGAGGAUGAAGAAUUUCGGUUCGUAAACUCCUUUCGACCGAGAUGAAUACCCAUGGACCUAACA
rnacentral:rRNA from 1 species